UACGGAGGGUGCAAGCGUUGUCCGGAAUUAUUGGGCGUAAAGCGCACGUAGGCGGCUUUGUAAGUUAGAGGUGAAAGCCCGGAGCUCAACUCCGGAAUAGCCUUUGAGACUGCCUCGCUUGAACGUCGGAGAGGUGAGUGGAAUUCCGAGUGUAGAGGUGAAAUUCGUAGAUAUUCGGAAGAACACCAGUGGCGAAGGCGACUUACUGGACACAUAUUGACGCUGAGGUGCGAAAGCGUGGGGAGCAAACAGG
rnacentral:rRNA from 1 species